UUGGAUAUAGCUCAGUCGGUUAGAGCACAGCGUCUUGAUGCUGUUGUCGCGGGUUCGAUUCCCGUUAUCCCAC
rnacentral:tRNA from 4 species